GUCGACAACAGAGUUUGAUCAUGGCUCAGAUUGAACGCUGGCGGCAGGCCUAACACAUGCAAGUCGAACGGUAACAGGAAGAAGCUUGCUUCUUUGCUGACGAGUGGCGGACGGGUGAGUAAUGUCUGGGAAACUGCCUGAUGGAGGGGGAUAACUACUGGAAACGGUAGCUAAUACCGCAUAACGUCGCAAGACCAAAGAGGGGGACCUUCGGGCCUCUUGCCAUCGGAUGUGCCCAGAUGGGAUUAGCUAGUAGGUGGGGUAACGGCUCACCUAGGCGACGAUCCCUAGCUGGUCUGAGAGGAUGACCAGCCACACUGGAACUGAGACACGGUCCAGACUCCUACGGGAGGCAGCAGUGGGGAAUAUUGCACAAUGGGCGCAAGCCUGAUGCAGCCAUGCCGCGUGUAUGAAGAAGGCCUUCGGGUUGUAAAGUACUUUUCAGCGGGGAGGAAGGGAGUAAAGUUAAUACCUUUGCUCAUUGACGUUACCCGCAGAAGAAGCACCGGCUAACUCCGUGCCAGCAGCCGCGGUAAUACGGAGGGUGCAAGCGUUAAUCGGAAUUACUGGGCGUAAAGCGCACGCAGGCGGUUUGUUAAGUCAGAUGUGAAAUCCCCGGGCUCAACCUGGGAACUGCAUCUGAUACUGGCAAGCUUGAGUCUCGUAGAGGGGGGUAGAAUUCCAGGUGUAGCGGUGAAAUGCGUAGAGAUCUGGAGGAAUACCGGUGGCGAAGGCGGCCCCCUGGACGAAGACUGACGCUCAGGUGCGAAAGCGUGGGGGAGCAAACAGGAUUAGAUACCCUGGUAGUCCACGCCGUAAACGAUGUCGACUUGGAGGUUGUGCCCUUGAGGCGUGGCUUCCGGAGCUAACGCGUUAAGUCGACCGCCUGGGGAGUACGGCCGCARGGUUAAAACUCAAAUGAAUUGACGGGGGCCCGCACAAGCGGUGGAGCAUGUGGUUUAAUUCGAUGCAACGCGAAGAACCUUACCUGGUCUCGACAUCCACAGAACUUUCCAGAGAUGGAUUGGUGCCUUCGGGAACUGUGAGACAGGUGCUGCAUGGCUGUCGUCAGCUCGUGUUGUGAAAUGUUGGGUUAAGUCCCGCAACGAGCGCAACCCUUAUCCUUUGUUGCCAGCGGUCCGGCCGGGAACUCAAAGGAGACUGCCAGUGAUAAACUGGAGGAAGGUGGGGAUGACGUCAAGUCAUCAUGGCCCUUACGACCAGGGCUACACACGUGCUACAAUGGCGCAUACAAAGAGAAGCGACCUCGCGAGAGCAAGCGGACCUCAUAAAGUGCGUCGUAGUCCGGAUUGGAGUCUGCAACUCGACUCCAUGAAGUCGGAAUCGCUAGUAAUCGUGGAUCAGAAUGCCACGGUGAAUACGUUCCCGGGCCUUGUACACACCGCCCGUCACACCAUGGGAGUGAGUUGCAAAAGAAGUAGGUAGCUUAACCUUCGGGAGGGCGCUUACCACUUUGUGAUUCAUGACUGGGGUGAAGUCGUAACAAGGUAACCGUA
rnacentral:rRNA from 1 species